GAAACGAAGAAACUUACUGAAAGUGCAGAAAUUAGAAUCAAUAAUCUAAAGAGUGAGCUGAGUCGACAGAAACUUCAUACCCAAGAGCUGCUUUCUCAGCUGGAAAUGGCAAAUGAAAAGGUAGCUGAGAAUGAAAAGCUAAUUCUAGAGCAUCAAGAAAAAGCCAACAGACUUCAAAGGCGUCUAAGUCAGGCAGAAGAGAGAGCUGCUUCAGCUUCCCAGCAGACAAUCAAAGCCUACCUCAGACUAGAACACAUCAUCUAAUGGAGUUCUGAGCAUUAAAGGGAAAUCAUAUUGAAGAUUUCAACCUUGAAGUUAAUUGUGAAGUUUGUUGCAGAUGGCUAAUGCUUCAAAGCAUAACUUGGAACAUUUGAAAGCUUUUCAACCUAAAUGUGGGGAAAAAACAGGAAUCCAUUCAUGUUGGAAGCCCAGAUUCCCUAACAUAUGCACUAGUGGUUGGCUCUGGGAAGUAACAGUCACCAGAGUCUGGAAGUUCUUCGCUUGAACUUGAGUAGCCACUGUACUAUUGGAAGCCAGAUGGCCAGAGCUCUCCUCUAGCAAACCCAAUGACGAGCCCAAAGGGCUUCCGCAUCAUCUCUGUUGCAUCAAGAAGCCAAGAUGCUUCUCCUGAUAAUGUCUGUCCUUCUGCUGAUAGUGCUGCUGGGAAAGGAAUGAGAGUGAAGUGGCAGCCUUGGGAAUGACAUGGCUACCCACCACAUCAGCAACUGUGUCUU
rnacentral:lncRNA from 1 species